rnacentral:rRNA from 1 species
CCGGUGGACAAACCGGAGGAAGUGGGGAUGACGUCAAGUCAUCAUGGCCCUUACGGCCUGGGCUACACACGUGCUACAAUGGUCGGUACAAAGGGUUGCCAAGCCGCGAGGUGGAGCUAAUACCCAUAAAACCGAUCGUAGUCCGGAUCGCAGUCUGCAACUCGACUGCGUGAAGUCGGAAUCGCUAGUAAUCGUGAAUCAGAAUGUCACGGUGAAUACGUUCCCGGGCCUU